GCGUGUACUUUUUGAACUUGGUCGGCCGUCAAGGUCUUGUACCGUUCUGGUCACGUCCAUACCUGUAGGAUACUCACCUCUGUCCUUAACUGGGUGGUGGUCAACACACACAAAGAAAAGAGUUUUCUCUCUUCUCUCUGCGUGUGGGGGUUCCUACUCUUUUACUUUGAGCAAAUUAGAGUGUUCAAAGCAGGCAAUCGGGCCUUUGAAUACUUCAGCAUGGGAUAAUGGAACAGGACUGGGGUCCUGAUUUCGUUGGUUUCUGGGAUCUCAGUA
rnacentral:rRNA from 1 species